rnacentral:rRNA from 1 species
UACGAACUGUGCAAACGUUAUUCGGAAUCACUGGGCUUAAAGGGUGCGUAGGCGGCUAUUUAAGUAGGGUGUGAAAGCCCCCGGCUCAACCGGGGAAUUGCGUCCCUAAACUGGGAUAGCUCGAGUGAGAUAGAGGUGUGCGGAACUUCCGGUGGAGCGGUGAAAUGUGUUGAUAUCGGAAGGAACGCCGGUGGCGAAAGCGGCACACUGGGUGCUCAACGUGACGCUGAGGACGAAAGCCAGGGAGCGAACGGGAUAG